UCUGCGCACGCCUGCGACUGUCCAGCGAGUCCCCCUCCCCCUCCACACACACACACACACAUACACACCCUCUCUUCAACAGAAAAAUACGCGAAAGACUACAGGCCUAUUCCCUUCCCUCUGGAAUAAUGACGGAGACGAUCAAGUGGAAGAACGUCACCAUCCAAGACGAGGUGGUCCCCAAGCCGAGCGACAUCAAGCUUCCCGAUGACCUCGCCGAACUCAUCUAUAUGGCCAAGUUGGCCGAGGAGGCAGAGCGCUUUGACGAAAUGCUGCUCUGCAUUCGAAAGUACGUGCGGCUGAACAGUGAGCUUGACACGGAGGAGCGUAACCUGCUGUCGGUGGCGUACAAGAACGUGAUCACGCCGCGCCGCAACGCGUGGCGCGUCAUUACCUCUAUCGAGAGUCGCGAGAACGCCAAGGAGAACAGCGCCACACUGCCCUUCGUGUUGAACAUGCGGAGGGAGUUAGAGGCGGAGCUCUCCCCGCUCUGCGACGACCUGCUCAGUCUUCUCGACACCUACCUCAUCCCGGCCGCCCAGGGCGGCGAGGCGAAGGUCUUCUACCUCAAGAUGAAGGGCGACUACCACCGCUACUACGCCGAGAUCGACUCCGGCGAUGGCCAGCGGCAGGCAGCCUUGAACGCCUACCAAAAGGCAACAGACGUCGCGAACUCGUCCCUCGCUCCGACGCACCCGAUUCGCCUCGGUCUGGCGCUGAACUUCUCUGUGUUUUACUACGAAAUCAUGAAGGAGCACGAGAAGGGCUUCCAGUUGGCUCGUCAGGCUUACGACGAGGCCGUGACGGAGCUCGAGACGCUCGACGACGAGGCUUACCACGAGUCCAACACUAUUGUGCGCCUCCUCCGUGAGAACCUCAACUUGUGGACGGAUGACCAGCUGUAAGGUAAUGCACUGCUGUUUGCUGUCUGGAAGCAACAGCAGCAAGAAGCUGGCGAUGGCGGUGCGGCAUAAACCUGUGCAAGUCGUGCUCUGGCUGUGGUUGUGAUGAUGCCUGCCGCCGUGUUCGCUGCCUUGCUAGCAACAUGCUCACAUGCGACCACAGCCGUAACGCCCCCACGCCCCUUUUUUCUCUCCUUCACUUCUCUCUCGUCGCGUUCCUCCCCCUCCCCACCGUCCCCAUGCCUCCGGACUUUGCUCUCUCCACCCGAAGCACGUGCGCCGACCGAAACGCGUAAAGGCACGCACAUUUGCGGAUCCCCAGGCGAUGUCUGGCGCGCACGGAGCGACAUAGAACAUCUCAACAGCACGUAUGCACCUUUGUCUCUGGCUCCCGAGAAGCGCUGCCCAUUCGUGUCUUAGAGGUGUGCUCCGUAAAGAUGCGUGUGUCGAUGGUGGUGAGUCUUUGUGUAUGUGUGCGGGUAUCGAUGUGGCUCCUCCACUUGGGGUGCGGGUCGCGAACAGAAGGGUACACAGCGCACACCAAUCGGCACACCGCGUCGCGGAGGCGGAAGGGCACAGCAACAAAAAAAAGAAGGACAAAACCGUGUCGGUGUGUGCCUCUCUGAAACGGGAAAGGUGGCGGCUGCCUGGGAUUUGGCACGAUGCUGAAGAAAAGACGACUGCGUUUUGUUGUUGUUUUGUUGUUUGUGCUUCGCCUGCUCCCCACUCCCACCCUUCUUUUGCGUGCGCUUGUUUGUGUGUUUUAUGAUUUUCUUCGGUGUUGGGGUUUGUCUCUCUUCGUCACCCCCCCCGGCUCUCCCUCUUACGUUUCGUUUUUCAUUUGAUUUCGCUCUUGUUUCCUUGUUGAUUGUUCUUUUUCUGUGUGGGUGGGUGUAGGUGUGGGUGUGGGUGGCUGGGUGUGGCUGUAUGUAUGUCAGAGUCGACAGGGAAAAGUAACCGCAGCAUCGGUGCACGUGUCCACGGCAGACACGCACACACACACACACACACACAAACUUGACACACCAUACAACGCGCACGCCAAGGUCGAUACGCAGCUACAGCCACGCGCACGUUUUCACGUGCAAUGUCUAUAAGUCUCCUUCUUUUUGUGAGAGGGGGAUCGCCUCACCUGAGUGCAGACACACACAUUUGCUUCCUGUAUCUCUCCCGUAUCUCAUAGUGGAGCAUUCCUUUUUUUUUUACUUUUUCGUUGUUGUUUACCUUUCCAGUCUGGCUUUGUUUGAGGCUCAAGUUCGUACGAGUCCUACACCACCAUCACCACCACCCUUCAAUCACGUCUCCGUUUUUUUUUCUUUCUCCUCACAUCUCUGUGUCUGCUCCCGCUGUCCUGAUGGAGGACGUGCGCGUCGCAGGUUUGGGUGCCUCACAAAGCGAAGCAGCCUCCCUCAUUUCUGCGUUUGUGGGCUUUUCUUUCGUUCUCUCCCCUUCCCACCCCUCUCUUGCGCUGCGCUUAUGACUUGCAGCCGUAGUCAAGAUGCAACAGGACGCGCACGGAAGAGGAGGGGUGGGGAAGGGGGCCGUAUCACAUGGAAGCACAGAGUAAGCAUACUAACGAUGCAGCAGUGAAAAGGAGAGGGAGGGGGAGAGAGGGAGAGAGAGAGGGAGACUCGACAGAACCGAGAGAAAGCAUAAUAGCAAAGAAAAAAGAAUGGAAGAAACGCAACAUUUUUGACAGGCGCGAAAACAGACAGGGGGGGGGCAGUGGAUGCCUCGAUGGGUCUCUUGAUGUUCCUUCCUCCAAUUUUACGGCUCCCUCCCUCCCUCCCCCCACCAGUGCUUUUUUUUCUUUGUGGUUUCCUUGUAUCGCGCGUUGCUGAUGAUGGCGUUUGCGUGCUUGUUUUGGUUGGGUGUCUCUUCGUCCCUCCUACUCCUCUCUCUCGGAAGACUUGGUGUUUGCCUUUUCAAUAGGCUUUCCUGUCUCUGUCUCGAAAAGUCGCGAUCGCGUCGAUGGCGCGCUGGAUGGCCUGUAGUUGUUGUUGACAAUUAGCACGUUUAUGUGACGGCGUGGACUGGUGUGCUGGCAUGUUUUCCUCUACGUUUUCCACUUUUUUGUUUGUUUUCUUAUUUUACUUUUUGUUUUUUUUUUUGCUUGUCUGUUUCGUAGUUGUGUUUUUCAAGCGCAGCGUGCGUGGAGGAAAAGGGGGCGGGAGGCUGAAGCGCGAACGAUACGCUCACACACGCGCCAGCAGCAGCACGAACACGCGCAACAAAGGAAAGCGAAAAGAAGACGAAGAGCCACGGAAGAGAGAAAACAACAACAAGGCAUCGGAAAGAUGAAGACGAAAAGGAGAACACAGAAUUUGCGUCUCCGUGUAUGCGUACUCGGUAGCGCACGUUUUCGAGCAGAUGCGCGCAGGAUCUUCUCAAAUCGCUCACUCGUCGCUUCCUUUCCGGUUUUGUUUGUUUGUUUUGCGGUGCACUUUACUUUUGUGCCGUGUGCAUGUGCGUGUGUGUGUGUGUGUGCUUGGCAGUGUUUACCUCUAGUUCUGUAAAGCAACGUCGAGAAGAAACAAAGGCUCAAAAAAAAAAGAUUUUACAAGAACGGAAAAGAACUCAAGAUGCGCCUGUGGGGGAAAGCACGGUACAGACAGCGGCUCUCGCUCUCGCUCUCUCGCCCUGCUAGUCUUCUGGCGUGCUCGGGCGGAGCGGCAGAGCGUGAAGGUCGCUGCUGUAGUGUCUCUCUCUCUGGCCUCCCUCACACACACACACACACCA
rnacentral:misc_RNA from 1 species